GCGUAACAAGGUUUUUCCCGUAGGUGAACCUUGCGG
rnacentral:rRNA from 1 species